AUGGAUGAGGUCACAAGGGAUAUACAAGGAGAUAUCCCAUGGUGUAUGCUCUUUGCGGAUGAUGUGGUGCUAGUUGACGAUAGUCGGACAGGGGUAAAUAGGAAGUUAGAGUUAUGGAGACAAACCUUGGAAUCGAAAGGGUUUAGGCUUAGUAGAACUCAAACUGAGUACAUGAUGUGCGGUUUCAGUACUACUAGGUGUGAGGAGGAGGAGGUUAGCCUUGAUGGCCAGGUGGUUCCCCAGAAGGACACCUUUCGUUAUUUGGGGUCAAUGCUGCAGGGGGAUGGGGGUAUUGAUGAAGAUGUGAACCAUCGAAUCAAAGCCGGAUGGAUGAAGUGGUGCCAAGCUUCUGGCAUUCUCUGUGACAAUAGAGUGCCACAAAAGCUAAAAGGCAAGUUCUACAGGACGGCGGUUCGACCCGCAAUGUUGUAUGGUGCUGAGUGUUGGCCGACUAAAAGGUGA
rnacentral:rRNA from 1 species